AUAAUAAAUUAAAUGUGGUGGCAUGUAGCAACAAAAUACAUUUAGUUAUACAUAAAUACCUACAUACAUCUAAACAUACAUAACUUUGUAUGUAUUUUAUAUGUUUUUAGUAGAAAAUUCAUUAAAUGUAGCAGCUUUUAGUUUAAAGCUAGUAUUCUCUUUCACAUAAAUUUUAGUUUAUUAUUGGAAACAAUUUUUUGAAUGUGUAUGUACGUUUAUAAAUUCUAUUCUAAAUUUUAAUUAAAAUUUCAUAAAAACAAACCUACGCCAACAAAAAAAAAAACUACUCUAAUACAUAACUAAAAAUUAUACAAAAAAAAUCUAACCUAAAACCCCGCAUUGAAUUGAAAAUAAUCAUCAUGCGUCUGCCUUAUCGCAAUAAAAAGACCACCCUUUGGGUCAUGUUUGCUAUUGUUGUUGUCACAAUGUUUUUAUUUAAAUUUACGGAAUUGCGUCCAAUGUGUUUCUUCAGAGACGAAUCAUCACCUGCAGCUUCUGCGGCUGGUCAAGCUAUGAUGGUAAGAGGAGAUGAGAAAUAUGUUGAAGGAGACAAUCAAAAAGUUUAUUCAUAUAAUAGAGAGAUGCCAUUAAUUUUUAUUGGUGGUGUCCCAAGAUCGGGGACCACAUUAAUGAGAGCGAUGUUAGAUGCACAUCCAGAUGUGAGAUGUGGCCAGGAAACUCGUGUGAUACCUAGAAUAUUACAAUUACGUUCGCACUGGCUGAAAUCGGAAAAGGAAUCGCUGCGUCUGGUGGAGGCUGGCAUUACCAAAGAAGUCAUGAACAGUGCUAUUGCUCAAUUUUGUUUAGAAAUCAUAGCUAAACAUGGUGAUCCAGCGCCUAGACUGUGCAACAAAGAUCCCUUAACCUUAAAAAUGGGCACAUAUGUGAUAGAACUGUUUCCUAAUGCUAAAUUUUUAUUUAUGGUCCGAGAUGGUCGUGCCACGGUACAUUCAAUUAUAUCACGCAAAGUAACCAUUACUGGCUUUGAUUUGACCAGCUAUCGCCAGUGUAUGCAAAAAUGGAAUCAUGCCAUCGAAGUCAUGCACGACCAAUGUAAAGAAAUUGGUAAAGAACGUUGUAUGAUGGUCUAUUAUGAACAAUUGGUGUUACAUCCGGAGGAAUGGAUGCGUAAAAUAUUGGAUUUCCUUGAUGUACCCUGGAAUGAUUCUGUUUUACAUCAUGAAGAAUUUAUCAAUAAACCUGGUGGUGUUCCUCUCUCCAAAGUUGAACGUUCAUCGGACCAGGUAAUUAAACCAGUUAACUUAGAGGCUCUCUCAAAAUGGGUGGGAAAUAUACCCGAAGAUGUCGUAAGGGAUAUGGCCGAUAUAGCACCAAUGUUAUCUGUACUGGGUUAUGAUCCCUUUGCAAAUCCACCGGAUUAUGGUAAGCCAGAUGCCUGGGUAGAAGAUAAUACAUCUAAGCUUUUAAGAAAAUCCAAAAUGCAAAAUCUUUUAUUAAAGUUUAAUAAUUGAAUAAUGCCAUCAUCAGUAUUUAAUUUGGCAACUAUAAAGGAAAUUUUUUAAAGAUAAAAAAUAGUUUUGGUCUAUGUAGGAUAUUUGAAAAUAUUGUCAUAAAAUAUUCAACAUUAUGCUGAUUUUACUACAACAACCCCGAAAACAUUGUCAACAGCAGCAGCAGCAAUAACAAAGAAAAUUUUAUAAUAAUAGACACAAGAGCCAGU
rnacentral:misc_RNA from 1 species